rnacentral:rRNA from 1 species
CUACGGGCCGCUGCAGUGGGGAAUUUUGCGCAAUGGGCGAAAGCCUGACGCAGCAAUACCGCGUGAGUGAAGAAGGCCUUUGGGUCGUAAAGCUCUUUUCUGGGGGAAGAUAGUGACGGUACCCCAGGAAUAGGCACCGGCUAACUCCGUGCCAGCAGCCGCGGUCAAUACGGAGGGUGCAAGCGUUGUUCGGAUUUACUGGGCGUAAAGGGCACGUAGGCGGCACAGCAAGUUAAGGGUGAAAUCCCGGGGCUCAACUCCGGAACUGCUCUUAAAACUGCUGAGCUAGAGAUGGUCAGAGGCGGGUAGAAUUCCUGGUGUAGAGGUGAAAUUCGUAGAUAUCAGGAGGAAUACCGGUGGCGAAGGCGGCCCGCUGGGGCCAUUCUGACGCUAAGGUGCGAAAGCGUGGGGAGCGAACGGGAUUAGAUACCCGUGUAGUC